rnacentral:RNase_P_RNA from 1 species
AAAAGCAGACGUGAUGAUCGCCCCGAGGUCUUUGGACUUCGGGGAGGAAAGUCCGAACUCCGCAAGGCAGGGCGCCGCCAGAGUUCCGAAGCAUCGGCUCAAUGGCGGGUAUUCGUUUUGAGAAAAACGGAUAACGGAUAGUGGAACAGAAAACAAACCUCUCCGCUUCGGUGGAGAAAGGGUGAAACCGUGCGGUAAGAGCGCACGUUCUGAUUCAGCAAUGAUUCAGGAUGCUAAACCCCGUCUGGAGCAAGAUCAAAUAAGAGGAUGUCCCGGCCUUGGCCGGGACGGGCAGCCUGUCCGGUUCGAAAGAGCAUCCUCGGGUAGAUCGCAUUGGACGGUCACCGGUCAACCCUUGGGAUUGACCACGUGCCUCCAAAUGGCUAUGGCCAUAGAGAAAUGAUCAUCAUCCGAAAGCCCAAAAGGCUUUUGGAUAACAGAAUUCGGCUUACCGUCUGCUUUUAUUU